rnacentral:rRNA from 1 species
ACCCGCUGAACUUAAGCAUAUCAAUAAGCGGAGGAAAAGAAACCAACAGGGAUUGCUCUAGUAACGGCGAGUGAAGCAGCAAUAGCUCAAAUUUGAAAUCUGGCGUCUUCGACGUCCGAGUUGUAAUUUGUAGAGGAUGCUUCUGAGUGGCCACCGACCUAAGUUCCUUGGAACAGGACGUCAUAGAGGGUGAGAAUCCCGUAUGCGGUCGGAAAGGCGCUCUAUACGUAGCUCCUUCGACGAGUCGAGUUGUUUGGGAAUGCAGCUCUAAAUGGGAGGUAAAUUUCUUCUAAAGCUAAAUAUUGGCCAGAGACCGAUAGCGCACAAGUAGAGUGAUCGAAAGAUGAAAAGCACUUUGGAAAGAGAGUUAAAAAGCACGUGAAAUUGUUAAAAGGGAAGGGAUUGCAACCAGACUUGCUCGCGGUGUUCCGCCGGUCUUCUGACCGGUCUACUCGCCGCGUUGCAGGCCAGCAUCGUCUGGUGCCGCUGGAUAAGACUUGAGGAAUGUAGCUCCCUCGGGAGUGUUAUAGCCUCUUGUGAUGCAGCGAGCGCCGGGCGAGGUCCGCGCUUCGGCUAGGAUGCUGGCGUAAUGGUCGUAAUCCGCCCGUCUUGAAACACGGACCAAGGAGUCUAACAUCUAUGCGAGUGUUCGGGUGUCAAACCCCUACGCGUAAUGAAAGUGAACGGAGGUGAGAACCGCAAGGUGCAUCAUCGACCGAUCCUGAUGUCUUCGGAUGGAUUUGAGUAAGAGCAUAGCUGUUGGGACCCGAAAGAUGGUGAACUAUGCCUGAAUAGGGUGAAGCCAGAGGAAACUCUGGUGGAGGCUCGCAGCGGUUCUGACGUGCAAAUCGAUCGUCAGAUUUGGGUAUAGGGGCGAAAGACUAAUCGAACCAUCUAGUAGCUGGUUCCUGCCGAAGUUUCCCU